GACGAACGCUGGCGGCGUGCUUAACACAUGCAAGUCGAACGGAAGGGCCCUGCUUUUGUGGGGUGCUCGAGUGGCGAACGGGUGAGUAACACGUGAGUAACCUGCCCUUGACUUUGGGAUAACUUCAGGAAACUGGGGCUAAUACCGGAUAGGAGCUCCUGCUGCAUGGUGGGGGUUGGAAAGUUUCGGCGGUUGGGGAUGGACUCGCGGCUUAUCAGCUUGUUGGUGGGGUAGUGGCUUACCAAGGCUUUGACGGGUAGCCGGCCUGAGAGGGUGACCGGCCACAUUGGGACUGAGAUACGGCCCAGACUCCUACGGGAGGCAGCAGUGGGGAAUAUUGCACAAUGGGCGGAAGCCUGAUACAGCAACGCCGCGUGCGGGAUGACGGCCUUCGGGUUGUAAACCGCUUUCGCCUGUGACGAAGCGUGAGUGACGGUAAUGGGUAAAGAAGCACCGGCUAACUACGUG
rnacentral:rRNA from 1 species